rnacentral:lncRNA from 1 species
CAAGGACAACAACGACAACAAUGACAACAAUGAUAUCAAUGACAACAAACAAUAGCGACAUCAAUAGCAACCACGCCGACGACAACAACAACAACGACGACGACGAUGACGGAAACGACGACGACGACGAAGACGACAAAAACGACGCGAACAACGACAAUGACGAAAACAAUGAUAAGAACGAUAACAGCAACAACGACAACAACGACAAUGACGAGAACAAUGAAAACAACGACAAUAACAACAACAACGACAACAACAACAACAUCGACAACAACGACAAUAAUAACAAUGAAAACAACGACAACGAUGACAACAAUGACAUCAACCGCAAAAACAAGAACGACAACCAC